AAUUUAGUACUUUUUAUAUAUUAUUAUUAUUGUUUUUCAAUUAAAUUGGUGCCAUGAUUCCUUUGUUCAUUUUGAGUAUAAAUAGGGCAAUUUGACUCCAUUUAGUCACCACCUCAAAAGGGAGGUACUCCUAUUAUUAUUAUUUCAAUGUCAAUUACGUGCUCCUAUGUGCUCCUACGUGUUCCUAUAUGUUUAUAUAUU
rnacentral:lncRNA from 1 species